AUUAACAUCCCUGCGCUUGUCCCACCAAACUGCCUCAUAUCCUUUGGUCUGAAGCGCUGCCAUGAUCACGUUCACAUCAUAGUUCCCAUUUCCCAGCAUGCUCUUCUUGUGUGGCGUCACCAUGGUGUUGGGAGACAGCCUCUGAAAAAUCUCCUGCAGGGUUUCCCUAGUGAAGGCGUUGCUGUCCUGGAAGACAUUGUUGAGGGCAUGGAGGGCACACAACUCCCUGCGCUGCUUCUCGUGGUAAAUAUGUAGCGGCGGCAGCAGCUGGGGUGGCUCUGGGGACUCCGAUUUGGCCUUGUCACCUUUCCAUGGCACGCAACUCAUCUUCUCGCAGGGCGGAUGGCGAGCAGGAGGGGAGAAACUCAGGAGGCCGAGGUAUCUUCCUCAGAGUCACAGCAGCAGCACACGGCCCCUU
rnacentral:lncRNA from 1 species